rnacentral:pre_miRNA from 1 species
CGAGGGCGACCAGGGUCUGAGCGCUUGCGAUUGAAUGCCACUCAGACAAUGGUGACUCUCAAG